rnacentral:rRNA from 1 species
UACGUAGGGGGCAAGCGUUGUUCGGAAUUACUGGGCGUAAAGGGCGCGUAGGCGGCACGGCAAGUCAGGAGUGAAAGCCCUGGGCUCAACCCGGGAACUGCUUUUGAAACUGCCGAGCUAGAGUGCGGAAGGGGCAACUGGAAUUCCCAGUGUAGCGGUGAAAUGCGUAGAUAUUGGGAAGAACACCUGAGGCGAAGGCGGGUCUCUGGGCCGAUACUGACGCUGAGGAGCGAAAGCGUGGGGAGCGAACAGG